rnacentral:lncRNA from 1 species
ACUCUUACUCCUUUGUUCCUUUACCUCUCACUUCUCUCUCCUCUUCCCUUUCUCUUUGUCUUCUCCUCUCCUCUCUACUUCUCUCUCUCUCUAGCCUUUCCUCUCCCCCAGUUCUCUAUUCCCCCCUGCAUUUCUCUAAUAAAGCUCUUAAACCAUAGACAGCCUCUGCUCCAUCAAGACCAGCUGCACACUCUGGUUUGCUAUUUCAGCUUUGCUAGCCUCAGAGCUGUUCAACUUUCACAAGGAACAAUAUUUUCUGUAUGGAAUACAUGAACAUACCUUUCUUUAAUUCUUGUUAUUUCCAAACAACUGAAGUGUACCGCCUGGAAUAAAUGCAAAUGAAGUUGCAAAUAUUUGAAUUUCAUGGUCAUCGCCGAGGUGAAGAGGUCCGUGUUUUUAUGUUAUACUGUCUGUUCUGCUGGAUACAUUAACAAAAUGAUAAGAUGGCAAAUUAAAUAUCUCUUUAGAGUUUUUGGAAUAUU